rnacentral:tRNA from 1 species
GUGCCUGUGGCUCAGUGGGUAGUGCGCUGGCCUCAUAUGCCAUAGGUUGUGGGUUCAAACCCAGCCCUGGCCA